UGGGGAAUCUUGCGCAAUGGGCGAAAGCCUGACGCAGCAACGCCGCGUGAGCGAAGAAGGCCUUCGGGUUGUAAAGCUCUGUCAGGAGGGACGAAGCCACUCGGGUGAACAGCCCAGAGGGUGACGGUACCUCCAGAGGAAGCCCCGGCUAACUACGUGCCAGCAGCCGCGGUAAUACGUAGGGGGCGAGCGUUGUCCGGCAUCAUUGGGCGUAAAGCGCGUGUCGGCGGCUUGGCAAGUCUGGUGUGAACGCUCGAGGCUCAACCUCGAGGCUGCACCGGAAACUGCCUUGCUAGAGUCCGGAAGAGGAUACUGGAAUUCCUGGUGUAGCGGUGAAAUGCGCAGAUAUCAGGAAGAACACCGGUGGCGAAGGCGGGUCUCUGGGACGGUACUGACGCUGAGACGCGAAAGCGUGGGGAGCAAACA
rnacentral:rRNA from 1 species